AUGGCCUUCCCCAUCCUCCUCCUCCUCGCUGCCUCCAUCCCAGGGCUGCAGGCGGAGGUGAGGCUGGAGGAGACCGGAGGCGGCCUCCAAAGCCCUGGGGCCUCCAUGAGGCUCCUGUGCAAGGCCUCGGGCCUCACUUUGGCCUCCUAUGCUAUGGGAUGGGUGCGCCAAGCACCGGGACAGGGCCUCCAAUGGGUCGCCACCAUUGACAGCUAUGGGGCCGGCACCUGGUUCGCCCCAUGGAUGUGGGGCAGAGCCACCAUCAGCAGGGACAACUCCCAGGCCACGGUCACGCUGCAGAUGAGCGGCCUCGAGGCCAAGGAUACGGCCACUUACUACUGUCCCCCCCCCCCCGCCGCCAUCACCGUGCGGGUCACCCCCCCCCCCUUCGUAGCCAUCUUCCAGGACAAGGUAGCCAAGCUGACCUGCCGGGUCCUCAAUGUCCCCUCCAUGGAGGGCCUGGACGUGGCCUGGUGGAAGGAGGACGGCACUGAAGUAGACACCUCAAGGCUGCCCCAUAGCCUGGAGCCCAAUGGGCUCUUCAGUGCUGGGGCCGUGGCCACCACUGGGUUAGAGUGGGAGAGGGGGGACACGUUCACGUGUAGGGUCACACAUCCUGAGCUGCUGUUCCCGGUGCAGGCCGAGCUCAGGAAGGAGGAGGUGCCCGACCCCAAAGCUCCCUCCGUCUUCGUCCUGCCCCCCCCUCCGGAGCAGCUUUCCCUACGGGAACGGGCGACCAUCACCUGCCUGGUUAUGGGGUUUAACCCCCCCGACCUCUUCAUCCUAUGGCUCCGCAAUGGGAACCCCAUUCCCGAGGCUCAAUACGUCACCGUGACCCCAUUACCCCAACCCCAUAACCCCCAAUCCCAUAACCCCAUAUCCUAUAUGACCUAUAGCUCCCUAACGGUGGCUAUAGGGGAUUGGGCCAAUGGGGACAUGUUCACGUGUGUUGUGGGGCACGAGCGGAUCCCAAUGCAAGUGAUGCAGAAGUCAGUGGAUAUAGGGUCGGAGGUCCCCAAUGGGGAGGAGGAGGAGGAGGAAGAGGAAGACAUAGAGAACCUAUGGGCCACGGCCUCGACCUUCAUCGUCCUCUUCAUCCUCAGCCUCUUCUAUGGAGCAACCGUCACCUUGAUCAAGGUCAAAUAACCCCAUUCCCGAUGGGAUCCCACCCCCUCCAGUGCUGGAUAUCCCUGGAAUUCCAUAGGAUUAUGGCCCUAUUCCUACCUGCUGUAAAUAUCUUCAUCCUAAUAAAG